rnacentral:rRNA from 1 species
UACGUAGGGGGCGAGCGUUGUCCGGAGUUACUGGGCGUAAAGGGCAUGUAGGCGGUGCUACGCGUUUCCGGUGCCAGCUCCUUGCUUAACGAGGGGAGUGCCGGGAAGACGGUAGGACUUGAGGACCUCAGAGGGACAUAGAAUUCCGGGUGGAGUGGUGAAAUGCGUAGAUAUCCGGAGGAAUACCAAAGGCGAAGGCAGUGUCCUGGGAGGUGACUGACGCUGAGGUGCGAAAGCCAGGGGAGCGAACGGG